UGCAAUCUACCUAUAACUGAGGAAUAGCCCAGAGAAAUUUGGAUUAAUACCUCAUAAUAUUAUUUUUUGGCAUCAUUUAAUAAUUAAAACUCCGGUGGUUAUAGAUGAGCAUGCGUUCUAUUAGCUUGUUGGUGAGGUAAAAGCUCACCAAGGCUACGAUAGAUAGGGGGCCUGAAAGGGUGAUCCCCCACACUGGUACUGAGACACGGACCAGACUCCUACGGGAGGCAGCAGUGAGGAAUAUUGCACAAUGGAGGAAACUCUGAUGCAGCCAUGCCGCGUGCAGGAUGAAGGCCCUAUGGGUUGUAAACUGCUUUUUUACAAGAAGAAACCUUGGUACGUGUGCCAACUUGACGGUAUUGUAAGAAUAAGCACCGGCUAACUCCGUGCCAGCAGCCGCGGUAAUACGGAGGGUGCAAGCGUUAUCCGGAUUUAUUAGGUUUAAAGGGUUCGCAGGCGGAAUUUUAAGUCAGUGGUGAAAGCCUAUAGCUCAACUGUAGAACUGCCAUUGAAACUG
rnacentral:rRNA from 1 species